CAGAUAGAUCUUUUGUUUUGUGGAUCUAACGCUAGUUUCAUAUUACACUCUACAGAUGAGGCAAUUUCUAAAAAGCUGCACAUAUUGUUUUAUAUAACGAGAUACAGCUACCUAACAUACAUAGAUUAUAGUCUACUAAAUCCACGCAACAGUCUGGAUCUAUUGACACAACUCACACAACAUUACUUCUCAUCACAAUACUGCACCAUUGAGAACAAGUACUACUAAUACUCAG